AGCAGCCGCGGUAAUUCCAGCUCCAAUAGCGUAUAUUAAAGUUGUUGCAGUUAAAAAGCUCGUAGUUGAAUUUCGGGAUCAGCAGGUUGGUCGUGCCUCUGGUAUGCACUGGUUUCGCUGAUUCCUCCUUUCUGAAGAACUGUAAUGUCAUUAAUUUGGUGUUGCAGGGAAACAGGACUGUUACUUUGAAAAAUUAGAGUGUUUAAAGCAAGCUAACGCUUGAAUACAUUAGCAUGGAAUAAUGAAAUAGGACGUUUGAUCCUAUUUUGUUGGUUUCUAGGAUUGACGUAAUGAUUAAUAGGGAUAGUUGGGGGCAUUAGUAUUCAAUUGUCAGAGGUGAAAUUCUUGGAUUUAUUGAAGACUAACUACUGCGAAAGCAUUUGCCAAGGAUGUUUUCAUUAAUCAAGAACGAAAGUUAGGGGAUCGAAGACGAUCAGAUACCGUCGUAGUCUUAACCAUAAACUAUGCCGACUGGGGAUCGGAUGAUGUUAAUUUUUUAGUGACUCA
rnacentral:rRNA from 1 species